CAGUGGGGAAUAUUGGACAAUGGGCGCAAGCCUGAUCCAGCCAUGCCGCGUGAGUGAUGAAGGCCCUAGGGUUGUAAAGCUCUUUCACCGGUGAAGAUAAUGACGGUAACCGGAGAAGAAGCCCCGGCUAACUUCGUGCCAGCAGCCGCGGUAAUACGAAGGGGGCUAGCGUUGUUCGGAAUUACUGGGCGUAAAGCGCGCGUAGGCGGAUCGGUCAGUUAGGGGUGAAAUCCCGGGGCUCAACCCCGGAACUGCCUCUAAUACUGCCGAUCUAGAGUUCGAGAGAGGUGAGUGGAAUUCCGAGUGUAGAGGUGAAAUUCGUAGAUAUUCGGAGGAACACCAGUGGCGAAGGGCGGCUCACUGGCUCGAUACUGACGCUGAGGUGCGAAAGCGUGGGGAGCAAACCAGGAUUAGAUACCCCUGGUAGUCCCACGCCCGUAAACGAUGGAAGCUAGCCCGUCGGCCAGGUUUACCCUGUCGGUGGCGCCAGUUAACGCCAUUAAGCUUCCCGCCCUGGGAGGACG
rnacentral:rRNA from 1 species